UGUGACCCUCCGUAUUGAAAGGUCCACCGUUGCUGGAGGGGCAACCCCUGGCAUCUCCCCACAGCUGGAUCAAAGAUGGUGACAUCACAGCACAUGUCCUAAAACCUUGGCUGGGCUGUCCUGGCUCAUUCUCAACUGCUACCACUGGAGAGAUGGCAGGAAAUUUUUCUAUAGAUUGAACAAAAAAGUCCAGCGGAGAAAUAAAGUGGUUCCAGAGGAGCAGCCCGUCUUUUGGCAACGGGGACACACGGAGCAGAAGACUUCAUGUGCCAGCAACUUGCCCCCAAUCAACGAAGGGCGUCCCCCUCAGCGGUCCAUCAGCCCCUGUCCCC